rnacentral:lncRNA from 1 species
GAUUCAUCAGCCCAGAACUACUGGAGUUGGUUUGGACAGUUUCCAAUCGUUAUAGAGAGGAAGAGGGGUCAGGGACUCCAGGGACUUCGACUUUUUUGCCUGUGGGUCUGACCAUUGUAGCCACAGCAAACAUUAGAAAGUGGCGAAGCCUCAGGGGUUGGGUGACUCAGCGGAGCGAAAACUGGGAGUGCCCCCUGCUGGCAAGUGCUUGUUAGGAGCCUGUCCACCUCCAACCGCCAUACCCAACUUCCCCUCCUCAGGGAAUAAUUAAAUAGAGAUGUUCUGGGGUAAAUUGAGAUGUCAAGAGACUGCACUGUUUUCAAAUGCACCAGAAAGACUUCUCAGGCAAUAAAAGGCCCGGAAGAAGAUAAGACUGUUGGAGCUACGCUACACGAGUCUUAACGUUAUUUCCAAUGAUUGGGUCUCCUUCCAAGGAGGCGAAUGUUCCGGAUAAACUCUGGGGCAAGAGGCAAUGGCAAACUGAAGAAGUCCUUCCUUUCCAGAGCCAAGUUGUUCACCUUCCAACGGGCAAACUCCCUGGGGGAAAAGCCAAGGGAUAAGGAAAAGCUGACCUCGUUUCAGAGCAAGAGGCAUAAAAUCUGAAGUAGGUAAUGUUCUUCCUCCACUUGCAGCCACUCAUCUCCUCUCAGCCCACAUCCCCUCAGCUGGAGGUGCCCAGAGCCUGGAAGAGGCCCCUUGGCCUCUCACCUGGCCUGUCAUUCACAUGCUGUAAGAAAGCUCUGUCUCCACUGAUCUACAUCAGAG